rnacentral:lncRNA from 1 species
AUUAAUAAGGAUAAUUUUAUAUUUUCAUAAUAUAUAUGAGGAUAUAUACAAAAUUGUUAAGUAUAAAAGUGAUGUUGAAAAUCAGAUUUUGAAAUGUCUUGUAGAAUUGGGUGAUUUUGCCAAAAGUAAUUUUAAAAAAAAAUAAUCAAAUACCAAAAUUAAUUUUUAAUUUUUCAAACUCACUUUUCACUCUCCCAAAAGCAAUCUCAACCAAGCCUUAAGAGGUUUUGCAAGAUUUUAAAUCCUUCUAUACAAUAGAAGUUGAUUCUGAUUGAAAUAUUUAGAUACAUGUGUAUCCAAUUUAGUAUGUGCUCACAUAUACAAUAAGCCAUUACAAUUUGAUUUGGUAGGUUUAGGUGUUGUUUGGGAUUGAAAUUAGAUUCUGAUUGAAAUAUUUGAAUACAUGUGUAUCCAAUUUAGUAUGUGCUCACAUAUAUAAAAUAAACCAUUACAAUUUGAUUUGGUAGGUUUAAGUGCUGUUUGAGAUUAAGAUUGGACAGCUGUAGUUUAAAAGUUACAGCACUAAAGUGUUUGAUAAACAUUAGCUGCUGUAUUUAAAAUCUAUGUUGAUAUAAUUUUUUACUUGUAUGAUGAAAAAU